GACUGCCGGUAAUAAACCGGAGGAAGGUGGGGACGACGUCAAGUCCUCAUGCCCCUUAAGAGUAGGGAUACACACGUGCUACAAUCGCGCAUACAGAGGGCGGCCAACUUGCGAAAGUGAGCGAAUCCCAAAAAGUGUGUUGUUGUCCGGAUUGGAGUCUGCAACUCGACUCCAUGAAGUCGGAAUCGCUAGUAAUCGUGGAUCAGAAUGCCACGGUGAAUACGUUCCCGGCCCUUGUACACACCGCCCGUCACACCAUGGGAGUGGGCUGCAAAAGAAGUGGGUAGUUUACCCUUGGGGAGGACGCUCCCCUCUUUGUGUUUCAUGACUGGGG
rnacentral:rRNA from 1 species